AUUGAACGCUGGCGGCAGGCCUAACACAUGCAAGUCGAGCGAGUGGCGGACGGGUGAGUAAUGUAUGGGGAACUGCCCGAUAGAGGGGGAUAACUACUGGAAACGGUAGCUAAUACCGCAUACUAUCGGAUGUACCCAUAUGGGAUUAGCUAGUGGGUGGGGUAAAGGCUCACCUAGGCGACGAUCUCUAGCUGGUCUGAGAGGAUGAUCAGCCACACUGGAACUGAGACACGGUCCAGACUCCUACGGGAGGCAGCAGUGGGGAAUAGUGCACAAUGGGCGCAAGCCUGAUGCAGCCAUGCCGCGUGUAUGAAGAAGGCCUUAGGGUUGUAAAGUACUUUCAGCGGGGAGGCGUUACCCGCAGAAGAAGCACCGGCUAACUCCGUGCCAGCAGCCGCGGUAAUAC
rnacentral:rRNA from 1 species